rnacentral:rRNA from 1 species
AGUGAACGCUGGCGGUAGGCCUAACACAUGCAAGUCGAACGGCAGCACAGUAAGAGCUUGCUCUUACGGGUGGCGAGUGGCGGACGGGUGAGGAAUACAUCGGAAUCUACUUUUUCGUGGGGGAUAACGUAGGGAAACUUACGCUAAUACCGCAUACGACCUACGGGUGAAAGCAGGGGAUCUUCGGACCUUGCGCGAUUGAAUGAGCCGAUGUCGGAUUAGCUAUUUGGCGGGGUAAAGGCCCACCAAGGCGACGAUCCGUAGCUGGUCUGAGAGGAUGAUCAGCCACACUGGAACUGAGACACGGUCCAGACUCCUACGGGAGGCAGCAGUGGGGAAUAUUGGACAAUGGGCGCAAGCCUGAUCCAGCCAUACCGCGUGGGUGAAGAAGGCCUUCGGGUUGUAAAGCCCUUUUGUUGGGAAAGAAAAGCAGCAGGUUAACACCCCGCUGUUCUGACGGUACCCAAAGAAUAAGCACCGGCUAACUUCGUG